ensembl:ncRNA K08F8.13 ncRNA
GAGGAUUGAAAGCGAAAUUCAAAAAGGGAAGACAAAGCGAAAGCAAACGUCGUCGACGACUUCGGAGGCAACUGGAGAAAACGAGAGUUUUCGGACAGUGUGGUGACCACCGCAAGAG